UCCAAGAAUUCGCCUGGGCUCGCUGUUGGAGGUCAACAGUUGUUGAACCUGAGUCUGGUUCCCUGCUCCCUCCCCCAGCGUGCACCUCAUCAUGAUGACCUGCCCUUUGCAGUACCCUGGAACUAUCCAGCACCACCCGCAGGCCUCAGCGGAAGAGAGCCAGGGCAACAGACCUGGCCCUUCCCUGGCAGGCCUAGCAUUGACUGCAUCGAGAGGUGGCUUUUGAUCCUUUGUCCUGCAGGCCGGAAUGCCCUGAGACAUCUGCUGGGACACUACUCACUGCCCCAGCAGAGACACGGGCUCCAUGAUUUAAUACAUUUUACGCCAUCCCUUACCAUCCAUCACCUUCUCUGUCAGCAUCAAACUAGACUCUCUUAGAUACCAACACUAGUGAAGCCCUAGAUCUGAACCAUCCUGAAAUUUGAGGGAAAUCUUGUGGCUAAAAUAUUUUUCCUACCUCUGCCACAGGUUUGCCUUAUGACUUUGGGCUUGUCACCUCCCCUCUCCGGGCCUCAGUUUCCCCAUCUGUAUAAAAGGGAUGAUGAUGACCCAUCGCACGAGUAGGGUUGUGACGGUGAGUUCAUCAGUGCAGAGCAGCGCAUUGCCCAAACAAAGCGCCACAUUCUCUAUUACCCAGCAGCCCCUGGGGCCUCUGCCCAGCCAAGCACUACAUUCUAUGUAAAGUGCUUGCCCAUGUAAAAUGCUUGGAGCUUCUCUGACACACGGCACCGAAGGACGAUGGUUGUCUGGAUCCAAAGCUGGAUCUGGAAUUUGCCACCUGCAUCUUUGUAACUGUCACCCAUGUAAUAUAAAUUGUCCAAGGGCUCGGGAGAUUAUACAGCUCGUUGCAACAUCAGCCAGUGCGUGGGAGACACUGGAUUAGUGACUGUCAAGUAGAUAUACUAGAACAAAGCCCCAAUACCUGAGCAUGGUAAUCAGAGCUCUUUGCCUGUGGCUUACUGCCAAGGAGGAAGCAAAUUCCUGGAAAGGGCAGGAAAAUGCCCAAGAGCCCUUGCAGGGUACCAAGCAGGCCUCACUCAGCAAACACUUCAGGAGGAGGAAGUGGGUUCAGGCAUACGCAUGGUCCUGUUUACAUUAUGGGCGCCUCUCCCCAGCCAGGAUUCCUCCUGUCCUAGCUGUGUAUGAUGUCUGAUAACCCGAGUGUUUGCUCUUGCAUAGCUGGGAUGGGAGCUCUCGCCAGCCUCCUGGUACCCUAGCCCCUGAACGCUCAGCUCUGCAGCUGCAAAGCUUCCUGGGAGAGGGCUUAUUCCUCGGGAGUCUUUCAUUGGCUGCCCUGGUGCUCCCAGCCCAUGCCAGCCUGGGGAUCUUGGGAACCAAGCUCUGGCCUCUCUUGCCUCCCCGAAGGAUGUUGCGCUAACUUGGAAGCCUCCCCCGAGGACUGGUACCGUCACCUCACCCUACUGUGCCAAGGACCAGUUGGCGGGAGGUGCUUCUGGGCUGCUCUUACUAAAAUCUCAGCAACAAAUCACAUCUCCUGGAGGCAAGACCAACAAGGGGAAAGGGGAAGUCAGACUAAAGAGAGAGGCCUGCCCUUUCCGUGGGCAUGCUGAGGCAAUCAAUGCCUCUCUGCUCGUUCUCUGCAGAGGAUCCCUGUGCAUCCUCCAUCGAACAAGCCAGCAGCGGGGGCAGGAGAGGGGGUGUUCUCUGGCAUCCUUUGAGUUCACCGGUUGGGGGAAAGCCUGAUGACACUCACAGCACCACCUUCUGGAAGUGCCACCUAGUGUGAGCAACAGGUAAACGGCAGCACCCCAUACCACCUGCCAAUAGACAAUGGCACCAGACAAUAGCGCCCCCCCAUACAUAGCGCUGCCUCCUGAUAGUGCCGUCCAUGGCCCCCUCCUGACAACGGCACGCUGCUUCGACCCCCUUUAAGGCCAGUCCCACCCCUGUGCUUCUCCCAGGCCAGAGAGGCCUCCAGAGAAGCCCCACGUUCCAAUCCCUUGAGGGCCAAGGGGUGUCCGGGUGGCUUGGUGUUUCUUAGCAGCUGAUCCAUGGUGGUUCCAUGGCCUCUUCCGUUGUUUUAUAAUUGUUAUUAUUACUUAGUAUUUGUAUUACUCUGGCACCUAGGAGCCCCAGUCAGAGCCCAGGUACCAGGUGCUGCACAAACAUGGAACAAAAAUCCCAUCCCUGUUUUGACUUCCUGCCCCAUUUGGAAGCUGAACAAGAGAGGGGAAAACCCGCUCCCCAUGGGGGCAUGGCAGAGGAAAGGGAAAACAGCAAGUUCAGACCAUGCCCGACCCACCUAACCCUCUGCCGGGCCCUGGCCUCUCCCCCAGCAUCAACGUGGUGUCUCAGCAGAGGGACAGGGCCAAAGCGCUUCUGAGUGUGUGUAAAUGAGAGAGACUGAGAGCGAGAGAGAGACCGAGAGAGCGACACAGCAAUGCCCCCACCCCUCCCAGCCAAGCCCCCAUCACUCGGACUUCCGACAACGCGCCCAGAGCGCCCGGCCCUGAUGCUGGCGUCAGAUUUAGGCAUCGCUCCCAGCUAGGAUCCCUGCUCACAGCAGAAUCCAGCCUCUCCUUUUCAUUUGAAAGCAUUUUGCCUGGGAGAAGGAAAUACUGAAACCCUAGAUCGGGAUUUGUUUACUAAGCUGUAGUUGAAAAUCCAGGUGUUCUAGGUAAGCUCAUGCCCCCUGAUUGACUUGCUCUGCUGUGACCCCAGUGAAAAAACACUCCCCAGCCUGGCCUUUCAGUCGCUCUCCUGGUGCCUCACCCAGCUCGGGCAGGGUUUUUUUUGUGAAUGUCCCUCUUGUUUUUCACUGCCCAGCUGUGCAAAGGCAGAUGUGUUCUGGGCAGGGAGCACGGGGUUUAGUUCCCCAUGGAUCUGAAACUAAGUCCACUGUCUGUUAACGUGGGUAAGAAAGAUUCCCCACGCUGAGGACGAGGGUGGGUCCAGUUCAAAAUCUGGAGCUGGGAUUUCUGGUGCCCCUUGGCAGGUGUCACCGAUGCUCGAGCUCUGGGUCUCAGAGCCCUGGGGUGUGUCACAGAACAUGGACAUUUCAGGCAGCUUUAAGUGGAGCGCAGCUACUUAACGCAGCAGGUGAGUGCAGGCAGAGGACACCUCCCAGCUGCUGAGGGUUUCUCAGAAGGUACCUGGUGUGUGGCUGAAUAUAGCAGGUCCCUGCCGCGCUGGUGAGUGGACCAGCUGCGUCUGGGUAGAACACACCUGCAGCAGUAGAGAGGUCCAGUGGCAUCCGGAAAUUAACCCUUUGGAAAAUCCCUUUCAUUCAUUCAGCCCUGGAAAUCAGCUCCUUUCCCCGCCCCUGCAAGGAAUGGAGCCUCCCCUAGUGGCUCAAUGUCCCUUUCCUUGUUUCCCAGCCUGGCCCCAGCCCCGUCCUAUCCUGCCCUAGCCACGCCCUAUGGCACAGAAUGUGGCGCUUGAUCAGGUCUUGUUUGCCAGGGCCAGGGAGAAGUUAUUUCCUGGUGUUGGGAGAAUGAAACAAUCUUGGACGGUUGCCCUGAGUGAUGGAUUUGCUCUCGCCACCUUAGGUACAUGGAGGAGUCUCUUCUUUCUUCCUUUGUCUGACAUGCACAAGAAAAAAAGCAAGGGCAAGCCUUGGAACACACAGGCGCCCACACGUUGCUCCUGCAUCCUGGUUGUGGUUGAAGUUAGCUUAGCUGAGGGGAUAUCCCCUCUGACUCCUCCGGAAGGCUGAUGGCCUUUCUCCUUAGGCUCGUGCUUGUCUGCUAUGGGACACCUGCUCCCCACCCCACUAACACCCGAGACUCCUCUGCCCCAUGGCCACACUUGUAAGAAGAGAUGGUGCUGAAGUGCAAGGUUGAAAUGAAGGGAGAUACCACUGAUGGAUUGCAGAUGACGUCUUGGAGUAAAGCAGUAGCCAGCAUCUCCAGUGGCUUUGCUCUUUGGGUUUGGUCAAUCAGUUGAGCUUGGCAUGGAAACCAGUGGGUAGACAGGAUGGGAAAGCUCUGAAUGGGAGCAGAGUCGCUCUGUCGGGGAGCAAAGGAUCAUGAGACCCUUAAAGGCUUGGUUACACCCCGCGGCCUUCUCUAGAUGGCCCAGCAGGCAGACGGCACUUGGAUCAUGCAGCAGCAAGAAACAACCGGACGCGGGGUCAUGCUUUGCCGUGAUGUGAUUUCGCCUGGCUGGAAACAAUCGGACGAACGGUGAAAGAAGAGGGUAGGAGCAGCUGGGACUUUCUGAUCCUCAAGCCAGUGGACGUCUGUCGACACCAUAAAGCCACAGCAGAGUCAAGAGCGUCUGGCUCCGAAGUCCAGGGCUGGAAUGGCAAGGGGGCCUAGUGGUCAGGAUCAAGGUGCGUUGGCAGAGCAGGACAUGAGGAGCCCAGGACAAUGUUGGGGUGGGGGUGGGAAGGGGCUUGAAUGUCAGGAGGAUUGAGGGAGCUCUAGGGAGUGUCUGACCCUAGCUGAGAGGGGCCUUUACUCUGGGGUCAGGGGCCGGACAGCAGGUCGAGCUGGCUCAGUACAAGGUACUUGCUGGACCCUUGGCUGUUUUCAGCCUUGCUGGUGCCGAGCGAAACCCAGAGAUUGCACCUCUGACCUUUACUCUGGAUGUGUCGAGUUAUGGGGAAUGCAAAGGCCUCUGGAAAGGGGUGGCAAAGCAAACCUGAAAGUGCUGGCGAGCAGCGCUGGGCCUCUGGGGUCCGGGGGGGUCACUGGUAGACCAGCCGUCCAGGGCGAGAAGGGAAUAGAACUGAAUGGAGCGUGGCAAAGUCUGGGUCUAGAAUCCAGCCGAUCGCUCUCCCGGGCUGUUCACACGGGACUCCUAUUGCGGCUGCAGCCCAGCACCUAGAAACGGGCCGGGGUUUAUUUGAGCUGUUUUUUCCCCUGAUGAUAAACCCAGAUUCAGUAA